GACGAACGCUGGCGGCGUGCUUAACACAUGCAAGUCGAACGGAAAGGCCUUUUCGGAGGUACUCGAGUGGCGAACGGGUGCGUAACACGUGGGUGAUCUGCCCUGCACUCUGGGAUAAGCCUGGGAAACUGGGUCUAAUACCGGAUAGGACCGCACUUUAGCGUGUGUGGUGGAAAGUUUUUUCGGUGUAGGCUGAGCCCGCGGCCUAUCAGCUUGUUGGUGGGGUAAUGGCCUACCAAGGCGGCGACGGGUAGCCGGACUGAGAGGUUGGUCGGCCACAUUGGGACUGGGAUACGGCCCAGACUCCUACGGGGGGCAGCAGUGGGGAAUAUUGCACAAAGGGCGCAAGCCUGAUGCAGCGACGCCGCGGGGGGGAUGACGGCCUUCGGGUUGUAAACUCCUUUCGCCAGGGACGAAGCGUUUUGUGACGGUACCUGGAGAAGAAGCACCGGCUAACUACGUG
rnacentral:rRNA from 1 species